UUUCCGUAGGUGAACCUGCGGAAGGAUCAUUAGCGAGAAUUGGGCCUUCGGGUCCUAAUCCCAAUCCACACACAUCGUUGAACUUUUUCGGCGUCCUGGGGUGAAAGCUUACUUGCGAUUAGCCCUGUCGGAUCAGCCUUGUAAACUCGUUUGAAAGUCUGGAAGUAUAACGUAUAACCAAGUAAAACUUAUAGCAACGGAUCUCUUGGCUCUCGCAUCGAUGAAGAACGCAGC
rnacentral:misc_RNA from 1 species